rnacentral:RNase_MRP_RNA from 2 species
UCCUCGUUCAAAGGAUCGCAGUCGAAGCACACAAACGGAGCAGACCUCGUGUCUCUCAGCCCUUCAUGGGCUAGUCAAUGCUUUGGGAGAAAGUCCCCGGACGACCUUUACCUUGUGUGAAGGAACGCGGAAACGCGCCGCCAUAGAAGCACUGCGGCUUCUUUUUAUUUCUCCUCUCCUUCCUUGCCCACGCCGACCUUCGUCGCCGCUCGUACUCGCAUUCCGGACGUUUGAUUGCUGCUUCUGGGUGAGGGGGAGACCAUAUGGAUGAAGAUAUGAGUCCGCGCUCUCCUGAUCCCAGUUGUCGGUAGAGCACUUGAAACGAUUGCGGGGAGGCGGGGAAGUUUCCUCGGUCUGGGUUGGGGCUUAUGGGAGGGGGGAGGCUUUCGUCGAGAGUGAUAGUUAUGCGAUUGCCCUCUUGGUCUGCCUCACGGUUGGCCUGGGGGGUAACUCGAUGGGGCUUAUUCUUGAGACGAGG